UCCAUUUUAGUAUCUUACAACUAUUGUUAGUCAUAUUGACGUUCAGUAUGUUGUUUAACAAGUUCGUAAACUUUUAUGUUAUUUUGAAAGAGGAAUUCAAGCGCCUACGAGGGAAAACUGUGCUUUGCAUACAAAAACAAACAGCUUUGGACAAGCAUAUAGGCUUGGAUCCGGUUAACUGGUUAAGUAAGAUUUCCAGAUUCUUAAGCUGAAAAAUCUAGAUUCAAUGAAGCAAUUCAGUUGCCUCGAAAAAUGAAGGGUCAGAACGUUUGUGGUGUUUAUGAAUCUCUCCGUUUGGAUGAAAACCGAGUAAAAUACUAAAGAUUUUAGAGAUAAGAUGUUAGCUGUUAGAGAAGCUUUUUGGACACGAGACGACCACUUGAUAUUCCCUCGGCACUUCCUUUUAAGGACUAAAAGGAAAAAAUGCGAGCCAACAAUCAAUCUCGCAUUAGAGUAGACUCUGGAGAAUUCUGAAUUCGUCAAAGAGGGUUUUUUAUGCAGAGAAACAUAACUUCAAGAAGAGAUUUAUCUGCCAAUGAGAAAAUGAAAGGUCAGGUAAACAAAUAAACUCCUAAUACAUACUACUUUCAAAAUACACUCAAACGCAACAACCUCAAAUACAACAUAACAAACGAGCAGGAAAAAAACACACACCACAAAGUAAAUAAAUCACAACGUCGUGUGAGUUUCUAUAUUAUACAUGUAAAACGUUGUGUAAACCAAUAUACAUUCUUUAAAAACUUUUAUCCUUUUAUAUUAUGUAUAUAAAAACCAAUAUACAUUGUAUUAUAUAUUAUAUAUUUAUACACAAAUCGCCUUAAAUCACAUACAUGACGACUAGUCCCUAGCUCUUUCUUUCUUGAACACUGAUUAUUAUAACACAAUCAGAUAUGUAAAAUUAAUGAUAAUUCUUCUUAGAUUUGUUUUUGCAGAAGCUAAAUUUUAACGGAUUAUCCAAAUUAUAUUCAAAUCAUCCAAGGAAUAAUGCGGUUCCAAUAAAAUCAUAAACUCAGCACAAGAACAACAGUUUCAGUGGGAAAAAAGCCUCUCUGCCUUUAUCUGUUUUCUUUUGGACUUUACGAAGGAGAAAGCUUGGAACUAUUAAGUUCCUACACUGAAGAAAGUGGAGAAACGGGCAUGGGUCAUGUUCCCAUAUUCUUGGAACAAGGAAAGUAAUCAUUAGCGUUGACUUUUCGUAUCGCCUACAAAAACUUGGGCUUUUCUAAUUUGUAGGCCCGAGAAAGACAACCUAAUUUUCCACUUACGUGACAUAUAAGUUUACAAGUGAUCUCUAGGGUUUCAUAAAACAGAGGCGAUGAAGAGAGGACACGAAGAGACCUCACUAUCGUCGACACUACGACUUCUUCACUGUGGAGAUAUCCAAUUACCCCUCCAUGUUACGGUUGAAAUACUAAAAAGACUUCCGGUGAAAUCUCUUUUGAGGUUCCUAUGCGUUUCGAAGGUCAUCAACUAUUAGUAGACUUCGAGACUUCAUAGAAUCGAUUGUGAGUCGUUCUUUGGCUCAGCCUCCACGUGAUGCUUAUUUCAUCUACGGCCACACUUCAAACAAUUACAUGGAAUGUUUCUUCUUCUUUGGUUUUUGUACAACGUACGUUAGUGUCGAGAUGUGUAAGGGUUAUUUAUUGUACUAAUUAAUCAAAACGGUCUCGAGACUUAUAAUUAUAGUCAUAAGUUGAUAGUUCAU